AGGUGUUUCAGUUAUAAUCUUCCAUUUAUUCAGAGGAUAGCUCCGACCGGGUAUCAAAAUCAGAAAAGGAAUAACUUUGUGUGAGCCUGUUGAUUUAUCUAUUAAGGAGUUGAUAAAGAGACUUGAAGAAGUUCACGCCAUAGAAAGCAUAAAUUCAACGUAUAAAUUAAAUAAGGAAUCUUUGUUCAAGUGGAUUAGAAGGACCAAUAGCCGUCUCAUUUAGAAAUCUUCCCUUCUUGAGUCAUUGAAUUUGAAAGGAAAUAACUUGACUGGGUUUGUCCCAAGAUCUCCAAGGAAAAGAACAAUGGCUGGUGGACUUGCACUGAGAGGUACAUUUUCUUGUCAAAACCCCGGAACCAUAGUUAUCUUUCUUAGAGAAUUUGUGUCUCUACCAGUUUCUGAAGAUUGUUAAUGUCCUCUAUGUUUCCAGUGUGGAUGAACAUAACAUUUGUCACCCACGUUCAUGUUAGGAUGGGAACAAAAUCAUCGUGCCAAUAGUUGUAGCCACAUUAAUGAUCGUUCUCAUUUUGCCUUGGUUGUGAUAUGCAUCAUGCAUGGCACUCAGCUGGAACUUCCGUGUCAGUCAAGGACUGGAGGCCCAUUCGGAACAAUGAGGUUUGAUGCUGAGCAAGCUCAUGGAGCCAACAGUGGUAUCCACAUUGCUCUUAGCUUGCUGAGGUUGUGGCUGUUGAAGUUACUGGUGGCCCUGAAAUUCCUUUCUACCCUGGAAGAGAGGUUAAUCAUUGCUGAGAGUGUGUGUUCUGCUUUCUUUGUAGAGAUGGCUGAUUGAUAAUUUAUACAUUCUCUCAAUCUUUGUAAUACUGAAACACUGUGGGACUUGAUUGUCUGUUUCUAACAUGCAUAUCUUGCUUUCAGGACAAGCCCCAGCCACCUCCAGAGGGUCGUCUUCCUGAUGCUACAAAGACUUUUGAUCACUAGAGAGAUGUCUUUGCUAAGCAGAUGGGCUUCUCUGAUAAGGACAUUGUCGCUUUAUCUGGUGCCCACACUCUAUUUCUCCAUUUCAGAGCUAACAACACUUGUGAAAAAAGGUCAUACUUGUAAGCAAUGACCUUCACUAAUAAAGGUCAUUGCUUACAAGUGAAGAGAUCCUUAAGUUGCAAAGAACAAAAGGGAGGCAUACAAAUGUUAAGGUCAAGUCUCUUCCUCUGUCUCCUUUACAGCAAUUAGACACGUCGGAUAGAGGCUUUCACUAUCCCGAAAAUGUUUACUUCCAUACCAUUCUAUAUCUCUUACAAGACGUUUGUCUAUUUUCUUUUUAUCUUUGAAUAAGAAUUAGAUAAGGUGAACUAGAGAAGAUGAAGCUGACUUGCAAUUUCCAGCAACUUCCAACAAUGUGAGCAAGCAACCAAAUGUCGACAGGGAGGAUUCUGUAAGUUUGUCAUUUUUUGGUUUUAAUGAAUUCAAAUAUUCGUUCUAUGUUUAAGCUGCUUGUUAUUAACAAAUGUUCUUUGGUUUCAAGCGCUUCUUAAGUUGAAAUGGAUCUUUUGAAAAAAGGUUUCGAGAUGAAGGAUUAUUUAGCUGCAAAGAAGUUUUGAAGACCAUUUAGUAGCCAAAAAAGGUAUGGUUAAGUAGCUCUCUCUCUCACUUAUCAUGUCUCUUGCAGUGUCUCAAAAACGGAGCAUCAAUUCAUUAAAACACACUCAAACGCACAAAAAAAAAAAUCAAACACACAAAAAUUAGUUAAAGUCACCAAAAAAAAACGAAAUUCAAACGCACAAAGAAAAAACAUACCACACAACGUUCACGAAACAGAAAACAUAAUAUAAAUCCACGAAAACCGACACUUGAACGUACACAAAAAAAACACACAACGAUUAAUUAAAAGUUACACACAAACAAAAAAAACAUAGCACACAACGUCCAAACGCAAUCUUAAAAACAGAAAAUAGCUUUCAUAGAAUUUUUGUAACAAAAUGUGUGAAUAAUCACAUCUGAUGUCAAGAACUUGCUUUGUUCCCUUGUUUCUUACUUUAUUAUCUACUUGCAUUAGUAUAGCUUGUAUUAACUUAUUUUUUUCUUCAAGCGAAAUGCAAACAUGCUAUAUAGUUGAAAAUGAUUUCGUGUACAUGAGGAUGGUUUGCAGUUUAAACCAGAUUUUUAUAAGAAAGAGCAAAAGUUUCAGAUGCGUUUCAAUAUACUCAUGAAUGAUAAGGUAAUCUUGUUAAACCAUAAAUGUGACUUUAUAUAAAAUUACUUUAAUAUAUAUUUUAAGUAUUCAUGAAUUCCAGUUAUAAUUUUUCCUUUAUUUUGAGGAUAGCUUCGACCGGUUAUCAAAAUUAAAGAAGGUUAGUACUUUAUAGUUUUGUGUUUUUUCAUAAUUAAGUUGUGUGGUUAUGUCUGUUUGAUGUAGACAUUGUUCAGUAUUUGGUUUAUAAUAUCCUUUAAUUGACUUAAUUGAUGUGUAACUUGCAGGAACUACUUUGUGUGAGCUUGCUGAUGUAUCAUUAAGGAAUUACUUAAUUGAUGCUGCUGAUGCAACCAAAACAUAUAUUUUCACUUUCUUUUUUGAUUCUGUUUAGGCACAACGAUCAAGAGUGGGUGACAAGAGGGAUGCUGUUUCUGAAAUCUUCUUAUCUUGCUUUCAAUUAGUUUCUAGAUGAUGCAGGGAAAGACAAGCAUGUAUUUCUAUCUGUUCACGCAAUAGAAAGCAUAAAAUCAACGUAUAAAGUGAAUAAGGUUUGGACUGGUGAUCCUUUCUCUCCAAUACUAUUCCCUUGGGAAGGUACUUUUAAUUACCAUAUCAAGUCCCUGUAAGUCAUUCAUUUCAGCCAGACAAUAACUCAUUUUUGUAAUCUCCUUCUCUGAUAAUUCUGUUGAUCAGCUUGUUUUUGUUUUUCUUGAUGCGAGAAUGAAUCUUAGUUCAAGUGGGUUGCAGGGACCAAUAGCCUUCUCCUUUAGAGAUCUCUCCCUCGAGUUAUUGGAUAUCAAGGAACAACCUGAGAGGGGAUUUUUUUACUGAUCUAAAGGAUUUGAAAGGAAAUAACUUGGAUGGGUUUGUCUCAAGAUCUAUUAGGAAAAGAAGAAGGGCUGGCUGACUUGCACUGAGAGGAGGAGCGAGCUUUUUUUGACAGUGCAUCAUCGGAACUUGGUUAUUUGGUUUCAAGAGCUUUCUUACGUUGAAAUGAAACUUUUGACAAAGGGUUUUAAGAUGAAGGAUUGUUUGGCUGCAAAGAAAAUCUUUCAGUAGCCAACAAAGGUAUGUAUAGUUAAGUAGCUCUCUUUCUCUCUCUUUCACUUAUCAUGUCUCUUGCACUGUCUCAAAAGUAGAACAUAAAUCCAGGAAAACCCACAAUCAAACGCACACAAAACUAAUUUAAAGUCACCGAAACACAAAACGAAAUUCAAACACAAACAAAAAACAUAGCACACAACGUCCAAAUGCAACUUCAAGAAACAGAUAACAGAACAUAAAUCCACGAAAACCCACACUCAAACGCAAACAAAAAUUAAUUAAAAGUCACCAAAACACAAAACGAAAUACAUAGCACACAACACCCAAACGCAACGUCAAGAAACAGAAAACAAACUUUCACAGGAAAUUUUUAACAAAAUGUGUGAAUCACAUUUGAUGUCAAGAACUUGCUUUGUGACUGUAUUAACUUAUUUAUCUUCUUCAAGUGAAAUGCAAUCAUGCUAUUUAGUUGAAAAUGCUUUCGUGUACACGAGCAUUGUUUGCAAUUAAACCAGGUUUUCAUAAGAAAGAGCAAAAGUUUCAGAUACGUUUCAAUAUACUCAUGAAUGGUAAGAGGUUUCAGCUAUGAUCUUCCAUUUAUUCAGAGGAUAGCUCCGACAGGAAAUAACUUUGUGUGAGUCUGAUGAUGUAUCUAUUAAGGAGUUAAUAAAGAGACUUAAAGAAGGCACACCGAGCAAGAGUGGGGGACAAGAGGGAUGUUUUAAAGAUUGGGUAUGAAUUCAGUGGAGGCCAAUGCAAUGGAAAAGCUCCGACGUUUUCUUUGGAUAGAGUCAUGUUCUGUUCCCAGGGUGCUACGAAAUUUUGUGACCAGCUUGCUUUCAGAAACUUGACGAUGCAGAAAAAGAGAAGCAUGUAUUUUAUCAUUUCUAUCUGUUCACGCCAUAGAAAACAUAAAAUCAACGUAUAAAGUGAAUAAGUUCAAGUGGGUUACAAGGACCAAUAGCCGUCUCAUUUAGAAAUCUCUCCUUUCUUGAGUCAUUAGAUUCAUAAAACAACAACCUAAGAAGGGAAUUUCUGGCUGAUUCUGAAGUUCUUUAAGGAAUUUGAAUGGGUUUGUCCCAAGAUCUCAUAGGAAAAGAACAAUGGCUAGGGGACUUGCACUGAGAGCAUUUGUCAACCACGUUCAGAUUCGUCGUGCCAAUAGUUGUAGCCACAAUAGAGAUCAUUCUCAUUGUCGCCUUGGUUGUCAUAUGCAUCAUGUUUCCUAGUGUAUUCAGGACCACUUCUGCCUUCGGGAAAGAGAAGGUUCACAUGUAGCAUUACAAACAACUAUAAAAGUGAUCGGUUACGGAGGGUUUGGCAGAGCUUCUUUUGACAGUGCAUCUACGAAACUUAGCUUGGUUUAUUGGAUAUUGCGAUGAUGGUAGCAGUAUGGCUCUCAUCUGCGAGUACAUGGCCAAUGGCAACUUCCAACACUCAUUUUUGAGUAUUUAUUGUAAGGUUAAAAUUUAUAAAUAUGAAUGAGAGAAGCAAGUAAGCAACCUCUUCUGGGAAUUUUGGUUUAGAGCAUCAAAGAAUUUCAAUUUGGAGAUGACUUGGUGUAGCCAAGAACAAGCGGCUCUUGGAUGGUGUAACUGAGUUACGGUAACUAUCUUUUACCUCUCAUAAAAAAAAAACACAAACCCACGAAAACAUAAAACACACAAAACAAAAAAUCCACGUGCACACAAAAAUGCAAUAAAAAGUGCAAAAACAAACUUCACGUUCACGAAUCACGACCACAUAAACUCCACAGCUUCACGAUCACAUAAACUCCACAACUUCCACGUUUACGAAUCACGAUUACAUAAACUCCACAACUUCACGAUCACAUAGAGUUUUGCUUCCUCUGACAAUUUCAAUUUUGAUUUUUUCAAAAUGACUUGUAUAAUUUUAACUCAAUUCUUCUUGUUUUAAUAUUCUUUUCCCAAUGUAUUUUGAGCGUCGGUGAUGUAAGUUGUAAAGCUUCUGGUUAUCAGUUGUAUUUUUUUUUUGUGCAAACAGCUUCUUGUUAUCAGUUAUUACAUUUUUAAGUUGUUUUUUUUA